ensembl:lncRNA
CAGAGCCACUGGGUUAGGACUUGUGGAGCGGUGCAUGCAGGAAGGAAAGGCUGCCCUAGAGGCAACACCUGUUUGAAAUGUCCCUGUUAUCUCUGUUUUAACCUGUUCUUCAGCUCAUCUUUCCUGCCUCUCCUGGCUUCUUUAUCUCUCCAGGAGAAAGCUCUGCCUUUCUCUUGAAUUCCCCAUGUAACUCACUGUUCUGUAACCUUGCGCUUAAUUGUCUGUCUCUUCCAGUAGACGGCGAGGGGUUUAAGGACCAGGUCUCCAGAGUGCGGCCCCUGGCAGGAUAAUGAAUGAUGAGUAAACGCACGAGUGAGUGAACCAUGUGGUGGAGCCAGACGCCAUCUUGAAAAACAUAGAUGAGAGUGGUCUCCCAAGAAGCCCUUCUGAUGACCAGCGAGCUAGAACCUGAGAAAUGAGGUCAAUGACCAAACAAAGACACGGCACUGGGUAUUUCCCUGCUAGAAUGUGUGGAAAUAUAUAAUAACACCAAACCCCAAUGAUGGAAAACAAGCUGUGAGUGGAAGUGGAGGCAUUUGGUAAGAGAUGCCAGCAGUUUUUGCCUGGGAAAGAGAAAUUAAGGGAGGAGCUGCCACCCCUGCCAAGCCUAACAGCUUAAGAGGCAGAUGGGAACGGAGGCCUUGGGCAGCACCAGCUGCUAAUGAGCUCAGUGGGGCAAGGCUGCAGGGGGCCCUGGGUCCUCUGGGGAAGAUGGCAGAGGGCGCAGCCUGCAGUGGUGCUGCAGAGCCAGGCACAAGUGGGCCAGCGAGCCUCAUGGGGGCAGAAGGAUGCUGUGGAUGACGCUUAGUCCUGCAGCUGGGGGCUGGGCUGGGUAGGUGGUGCACCACUUUUUCUUUUCUUCUAGGGAUUAAAUCCAGGGCCUUCAUGCUGAGGUACAUCCCCAGCCCUGUUUGUUUUCGAUUUUAAGAAAGGCUCUUGCUAAAUUGCCCGGGCUGGGCUCGAACAAUCCUGUCCGAGCCUCCCAGAGUGCUGGGAUCGCAGGCGUGUGCCACCACUCCCAGCAGCACUCAGGAGGCUGAACCAGAGGACUGCAGCAAGUUCAAGGCCAGCUUGAGUUACACAGCGAGUUCAAGACCAGCCUGAACUACAUAAGGAGACCCUGUCUAAAAAAAGGGACAUGAUGGAAAAUGUUAUCAUUUGUGCUUCUGAAUUGAUUUAUUCUGAACUUUUUUAUGGACUGGCAAACUCAUAUUAAUUUUUUUUUGAUACUGGGGAUUGAACUUGGGACCUUGUGCUUGCAAGGCAGGCGACAGAAACACUGAGCUAAAUUUUGUUAUAAGGGCCCUAGCUGUUUCUUUUCUUCCUUCUGUAGAAGCAGAUGUGGUCUAUUACUGGACUAUAUGCUCAGCUUUUUUAUUUUUUAUUUUGAGACAGGGUCUUGCUAGGCUGGGCUCGAACUACUGGUGUGUGCUACCCAGCCUGGCUUGUUUCUUUUUUUUGGUCCCGGGGAUUGAACUCAGGACCUUGCAUUUGCGAGGCAGGAGGUGGAACCACUGAGCUAAAUCCGCAGCCUGGCUUGUUUCUUAACAAGUGCAACAAAAACAGUUUUCUUUUUUAUUAUAUCAAAUCCCCCAGAGCCUUGAGGUUGUCCUUGUCUAUUUUUUUCCCUUUCAUAUUCCCCAUUCAACCCAUUAACAAACUAUUGGUUGCAUCUUCAAAACUGUUCAGAUUCGGGUGGCUUUUUCCUGCUUUCUUCAUCUGUGCUGUUACGGAAAUAAAGUCAUCGUGCCAGGGAAUAAGCCAAAGCCUCUGGCCAGGACCAGUCACCCCUGGAUGAGGUGGUUGGUGAGUGGGUGGGGGCCCACCUCGGCCCGCCCAGUGCCUCAGACUCCCUGGGGACUGGCACUCAAGACAGGGGUGGGGCCCCAGCCGCAGCUGUCACCUCCCGGGGGAAGCCGCACCUGGUGUCCUUGCCCGCACCUGCACCAGACCCCAG